rnacentral:rRNA from 1 species
CCUACGGGAGGCAGCAGUGGGGGAUAUUGCACAAUGGGGGGAACCCUGAUGCAGCGACGCCGCGUGGGUGAAGGAGUGCUUCGGCAUGUAAAGCCCUAUCAGCAGGGAAGAAACACGACGGUACCUGACUAAGAAGCGCCGGCUAACUACGUGCCAGCAGCCGCGGUAAUACGUAGGGGGCGAGCGUUAUCCGGAUUCACUGGGUGUAAAGGGAGCGUAGGCGGCCAGGCAAGCCAGGGGGGAAAGCCCGGGGCCCAACCCCGGGACUGCCCUUGAAACUGGGCGGCUAGAGUGCGGGAGGGGCAGGCGGAAUUCCUGGUGUAGCGGUGAAAUGCGUAGAUAUCAGGAGGAACACCGGUGGCGAAGGCGGCCUGCUGGACUGCGACUGACGUUGAGGCUCGAAAGCGUGGGGAGCGAACAGGAUUAGAUACCCCAGUAGUC